CCAUCCUGAGCUCCAUGGAGAAGCCACCCAGCCUCGGUGACCAGGAGACUCGGCGCAAGGCCCGAGAACAGGCCGCCCGCCUGAAGAAACUACAAGAGCAAGAGAAACAACAGAAAGUGGAGUUUCGUAAAAGGAUGGAGAAGGAGGUGUCAGAUUUCAUUCAAGACAGUGGGCAGAUCAAGAAAAAGUUUCAGCCGAUGAACAAGAUCGAGAGGAGCAUACUGUGAGUGUCCCUGGGCUGGGGGAGGAAGGAAAUGGGUGGCUAGCGGGGCAUGAAAGGGCCAGCAGGGGGCUCCUCCAGAGGAGGGCACUAGGCCCGCUCCUGGCUCAAGAUACUCUUUCCCCUCUGCCAUCCCAUCCCAGACAUGAUGUGGUGGAAGUGGCUGGCCUGACAUCCUUCUCCUUUGGGGAAGAUGAUGACUGUCGCUAUGUCAUGAUCUUCAAAAAGGUAAAGGGCCUGAAUUCCUCAUUCUCUCCUCUCCCCUUUGUAGCCUU
rnacentral:sRNA from 1 species